rnacentral:rRNA from 1 species
GAUGAACGCUGGCGGCGUGCCUAAUACAUACAAGUCGAGCGAACAGACGAGGAGCUUGCUCCUCUGACGUUAGCGGCGGACGGGUGAGUAACACGUGGAUAACCUACCUAUAAGACUGGGAUAACUUCGGGAAACCGGAGCUAAUACCGGAUAAUAUAUUGAACCGCAUGGUUCAAUAGUGAAAGACGGUUUUGCUGUCACUUAUAGAUGGAUCCGCGCCGCAUUAGCUAGUUGGUAAGGUAACGGCUUACCAAGGCAACGAUGCGUAGCCGACCUGAGAGGGUGAUCGGCCACACUGGAACUGAGACACGGUCCAGACUCCUACGGGAGGCAGCAGUAGGGAAUCUUCCGCAAUGGGCGAAAGCCUGACGGAGCAACGCCGCGUGAGUGAUGAAGGUCUUCGGAUCGUAAAACUCUGUUAUUAGGGAAGAACAAAUGUGUAAGUAACUAUGCACGUCUUGACGGUACCUAAUCAGAAAGCCACGGCUAACAACGUG